rnacentral:rRNA from 1 species
GAUGAACGCUGGCGGCGUGCUUAACACAUGCAAGUCGAACGAAGCACUUAAGAUUGAUUCUUCGGAUGACGUCUUUUGUGGCUUAGUGGUGGACGGGAGCGUAACGCGUGGGUAACCUUCCUCACACAGGGGGAUAAUUGUUAGCAAUGACUGCUAAUACCGCAUAGCCCGAUAGGAUCGCAUGAUCCAGUCGGAAAAUAUUUAUCGGUGUGGUAUGUACCCGCGUCUGAUUAGCUAGUUGGAGAGGUAACGGCCCACCAAGGCGACGAUCAGUAGCCGGCGUGAGAGGGUGAACGGCGACAUUGGGACUGAGACACGGCCGAAACUCUUACGGGAAGCAGCAGUGGGGAAUAUAGCAAAAUGGGGGAAAUGAAGAUGCAGCGACGCCGCGUGAGUGAAGAAGUAUGGCGGUAUGUAAAGCGCUAUCAGAAGGGAAGAAAAUGACGGUACCUGACGAAGAAGCCCCGGCUAACUACGUG